rnacentral:pre_miRNA from 14 species
AAUACCGGUAGCCCAGUUAGGUUUGAAUUUCAGAUCAACAAUAUAUAUAUUUUAGGAUAAGUAUUUCCCGUGCAAUAUCUGGGACAUACUUAUGCUACAAUUUUUUCAUUGUUUAUCAGAAAUUCAAAGUUAACUGGGCAAACUGUAUUUU